AUGAACGCUGGCGGCGUGCCUAAUACCUGCAAGUCGAGCGAACAGAUGAGGAGCUUGCUCCUCUGACGUUAGCGGCGGACGGGUGAGUAACACGUGGAUAACCUACCUAUAAGACUGGGAUAACUUCGGGAAACCGGAGCUAAUACCGGAUAAUAUAUUGAACCGCAUGGUUCAAUAGUGAAAGACGGUUUUGCUGUCACUUAUAGAUGGAUCCGCGCCGCAUUAGCUAGUUGGUAAGGUAACGGCUUACCAAGGCAACGAGCGUAGCCGACCUGAGAGGGUGAUCGGCCACACUGGAACUGAGACACGGUCCAGACUCCUACGGGAGGCAGCAGUAGGGAAUCUUCCGCAAUGGGCGAAAGCCUGACGGAGCAACGCCGCGUGAGUGAUGAAGGUCUUCGGAUCGUAAAACUCCGUUAUUAGGGAAGAACAAAUGUGUAAGUAACUAUGCACGUCUUGACGGUACCUAAUCAGAAAGCCACGGCUAACUACGUG
rnacentral:rRNA from 1 species